UACGUAGGGCGCAAGCGUUGUCCGGAAUUAUUGGGCGUAAAGGGCUCGUAGGCGGUUUGUCACGUCGGGCGUGAAAACUCAGGGCUCAACCCUGAGCGUGCGUUCGAUACGGGCAGACUAGAGGUAUGCAGGGGAGAACGGAAUUCCUGGUGUAGCGGUGGAAUGCGCAGAUAUCAGGAGGAACACCCGUGGCUAAGGCGGCUCUCUGGUCCACAACUGACGCUGAGGUGCGAAAGCUAGGGGAGCAAACGGG
rnacentral:rRNA from 1 species